rnacentral:tRNA from 2 species
GCUAGCGUAGCUUAACUAAAGCAUAA